rnacentral:lncRNA from 1 species
ACUUCAUGGCUGUCCCUCAAACAAAAUCCACCUCGAGUAGCUCUCUUCGCCUCCGCACUGGGCCGUUCCGCUACCAGAUCCGUUCUCCCACCCAUCCCGCCCACGCCCAAAUGCCACUUCCUCAGAGUCCCCUUGCCACCUCUGGCCUUGUUUACUUUUCUCUGUUUUUUCUUUCUUUCCUUCCUUCCUUCCUUCCCUCCUUCCUCUCUUUCUUUUUUUCUCUUUCUUUCUUGCCUUGUUUACUUUUCUCUUUCUCUCUCUCUUUUUUUAAGACAGAGUCUCGCUCUGUCGCCCAGGCCGGGGCACAGUAGCGUGAUCCUGGCUCACUGCAAUCUCCACCUCCCUGGUUCUAGCAAUUCUCCUGCCUCAGUCUCCUGAGUACCUGGGACGACAGGAGUCGUCCACGCCCAGCUAAUUUUUGUAUUUUUAGUAGAGAUAGGGUUUCACCAUGUUGGCCGGCUGGUCUCCAACUCCUGACCUCAGGUGAUCCUCCCACCUCAGCCUCCCGAAGUACUGGGAUUACAGGCGUGAGCCACCACGCCCGGCCUGUUCAUAACUUUAUGGCUUUGGUGUUUUUUUUUUUUUUUUUUUAAGUACUAUGGGUUUACUGUGCCUCUGCCAUCAGACCUGGGAGCUACCACUGGCACAGAAGGUACACCCACGGAUGUUCCUUAACCAAACCCUGGGUUCUCACCCUGAAGGACAGCCCCUUUCCUUCUCAGGCCUUAGUUUCCCCAGCCAGACAACAGGGUAGAAAGGAUGAGUCCUGCCAAAGACUCCAGUGUGAUCCCUCAGGCGGGAAGGAGCAUUUAUUGAGCACCUACCAGUUGCCUGGCCCUUUUUAGGGAGUUCUGGUUAAAUAGACUGUCACCCCAUUUUACAGAUGAAACAACCAAGGCCCCAGAGGGGCAGCCACUGCUCAGAGUCACCCAGCAGUGGCAGAGUCAGGACUCGAACCCGGGUCUGACCAGCACCUCCUCAUACCCUUCUCGUGCGUGGGCCCAAGCUGGUCAUUCAUGCACCAGCCACGGCCUAGUUAUCUCGUUGAGCCAGGCGAUGGAUGGCCUUAUCAGAGGCUGCCAGGACCUGGGGCUCCUCGGCUAUGCACAGCGUCGUCUCCCCAGGAGCCAGGCCUCCUCGCCCCACCCAGGGCUCAGCAUCUGCCAAGUAAAUGCCUGUUGCUCCCAGCACCCAAGCCCAUGGCCUCCAGGGACCUUUCUGAUUCUACUUGUGUCUGGAACCCUCCCCUGUAGCCCACCCCUGAAGGGUCUCUCUGACCCCUGGAUGUCACCAAAUAACCCCUCCUCCUGACGUCCCCAUGGCUCCUCCAUGGAGUCCCUUCCACCAAGUCCAGGUUUUUUCUCACUGCAACCUCCACCUCCUGGGUUCAAGCGAUUAUCCUGCCUCAGCCUCCCAAGUAGCUGGGAUUACAGGCGUGCACCACCACACCCAGCUAAUUUUUAUAUUUUUAGUAGAGACAGGGUUUCACCAUGUUGCCCAGGCUGGUCUUGAACUCCUGACCUCAGGUGAUCCGCCCGCUUUACCCUCCCAAAGUGCUGGGAUUACAGGUGUGAGCCACUGUGCCCAGCCAGUCCGGUUCUUUACUUUGGCCUAGGGGAUUUCCAGUUUGAAUGCACCAUCCUUCCUCGCAGUGUGGUCCCAGGUAGGUAGAUUCACCUCUCUGGGCCUCAGUUUCCCCCCCAUCCCACCAUGGUCAAGUUCUGAUGAGGAAUCAGUGUGGUAAUUGACAUCAUCACAUUCUCUGUAGACAGCAGGUGCUCAAUACAAAUCUCACAAAAACCCAAAUGACCUUCCUCACCCAGGUCACCUCCCCCAUGGGCCCCGCUAGGAUUCUAGGCUAGGCCGGUGAUGGGAAC